rnacentral:rRNA from 1 species
CAAUGCUGUCCGCCAGAGAACUACAAGUGAAAAACUAGAAACUCCAAGGACUUGGCGGUGCCCCAUACCGACCUAGAGGAGCCUGUCCUAUAAUCGAUAAUCCACGCAACACCUCACCGCUUCUUGCAAUUCAGCCUAUAUACCGCCGUCGUCAGCCUACCCUGUGAAAGAAAUAAAGUAGGCAAAACAGUUUCUAACUAAAACGUCAGGUCAAGGUGUAGCAUAUGAAACGGAAGAGAUGGGCUACAUUUUCUAUAGUAGAAAACACGAACGGCACAGUGAAAUCUGUUCCCAAAGGCGGAUUUAGCAGUAAGUUAAACAAGAAACUUUA